UACGGAGGGUGCGAGCGUUCAUCGGAAUUACUGGGCGUAAAGCGUGCGCAGGCGGUUCUAUAAGACAGAUGUGAAAUCCCCGGGCUCAACCUGGGAAUGGCAUUUGUGACUGUAGAGCUAGAGUACGGUAGAGGGGGAUGGAAUUCCGCGUGUAGCAGUGAAAUGCGUAGAUAUGCGGAGGAACACCGAUGGCGAAGGCAAUCCCCUGGAACUGUACUGACGCUCAUGCACGACAGCGUGGGGCGCAAACAGGAUUCGAUACCACGGUAGACC
rnacentral:rRNA from 1 species